rnacentral:rRNA from 1 species
GAUCAAGCUACCGAAGGCGCACGGAGAAUGCCUUGGCACCAGAUGGCGAUGAAGGACGUGGUAAGCUGCGAUAAGUCUCGGGGAGCCGCACACAGGCGCUUGGACCCGAGAAUUUCCUAAUGGGGUAACCCGAUCGGGGGAAUGCCCGAUCACUCCGGCCUGAAUACAUAGGGCCGGUAGAGCGACACCCGCUGAAGUGAAACAUCUCAGUAAGCGGAGGAAGAGAAAACGAGCGUGAUUCCGUAAGUAGUGGCGAGCGAACACGGAAAAGCCCAAACCGGGGAGCUUGCUCCCCGGGGUUGUAGGGCCACAAUGUGGGACUUCGACGGUUAGGAGAAGCGGAUGGAAAGCCGCUCCCUAGAGGGUGAGAGACCCGUAUCCGAAAACCGAAAGAGCCCUAGUGGUACCCUGAGUAACGCGAUGCACGUGAAACUUCGCGUGAACCCGUCCCGACCACGGGAUAAGGCUAAAUACAAUCUGGUGACCGAUAGUGGACAAGUACCGCGAGGGAAAGGUGAAAAGAACCGCUGUGAGCGGAGUGAAACAGAACCUGCAACCGUGUGCCGACAAGGUGUCAGAGCCCCGCAAGGGGUGAUGGCGUGCCUUUUGCUUAAUGAGUCUGCGAGUUAUUGUCUGUGGCAUGCCGAAGGGCUUCUGGUCCGGAGGCGGAGCGAAAGCGAGUCCGAAAUGGGCGAACAUAGUCGCAGGCAGUAGACCCGAAGCGGAGGUGAUCUACCCAUGGCCAGGAUGAAGUCCCAGUAAAAUGGGAUGGAGGUCCGAACUGGUGAGCGUUGAAAAGCUCUCGGAUGAGCUGUGGGUAGGAGCGAAAGACUAAUCAAACCCCGUGAUAGCUGGUUCUCCCCGAAAUAGCUUGAGGGCUAGCCUUGCAUGCUGACCUGUAGAGGUAGAGCACUGGAUGGACGAGGGCCCAUACCCGGGUACCGAAUCCAAUCAAACUCCGAAUGCUACAGGGUGGAGUGCAGGAGUCAGACGGCGGGGGAUAAGCUUCGUCGUCGAGAGGGAAACAGCCCAGACCGUCAGCUAAGGUGCCUAACGACCGCUGAGUGGAAAGGAUGUGGGAUUUCAUAGACAGUGAGGAUGUUGGCUUAGAGGCAGCCAUCAUUUAAACAAAGCGUAACAGCUGACUCAUCGAGAGAUCCCGCGCCGAAAAUGAUUGGCGAUCAAGCGGUCGACCGAAGCUACGGAUGAAAUACCGGUUCGCCGGAAUUUCGUGGUAGGGGAGCGUUCUGUACGCAUCGAAGCGGAAGGGAAACUGACCGUGGAGUGUACGGAAGUGAGAAUGCAGACAUGAGUAGCGAUCAUCCCGGUGAAAUUCCGGGACGCCGUAAACCCAAGGUUUCCUGGGGAAGGUUCGUCCUCCCAGGGUUAGUCGGGUCCUAAGUCGAGGCCGCACGGCGUAGACGAUGGGCAGCAGGUUCAAUAUUCCUGCACCGCCGAAAUUUAACCUACGUGGACGCAAGAACGGAGAGUGGCAAGGUGAUGAAUGUCCUUGUCCCGCAAGGGGACGCGGAGGCUACGGCCGAAGCGGAUCAUUUAAAGUUUUUGCCGAGAAAAAGCGUAGCGAAUACUAAGGCGCCCGUACCGUAAACCGACACAGGUGGGUGAGUAGAGUAUACUAAGGUGCGCGAGUGAACCCUCUUCAAGGAACUCGGCAAUCUAACCCCGUAACUUAGGGAUAAGGGGUGCCCCGUCGCAAGAUGGGGUCGCAGAGAAAUGGGCCUACCGACUGUUUAGCAAAAACACAGCACUCUGCUAAGUCGUGAAGACGACGUAUAGGGUGUGACACGUGACCAAUGCCGAAAGAUUACGGUGAGGGGUCAGCCGCAAGGCGAAGCUCCGAGCCCAAGUCCCGG